CCGUAUUCUUCCCCAAUCUCCCAAAUUCUUGCUAUCCUGAUCCCCAUUCUCCUUCUGUAGUUCUUUGGACACAACAAUUGUAUCCACCUACCCAGAAAAUUUUUCCACCAAAUUCAUCGGGUUUCGUCGUUCUGGCACCGCGGAAGCCAUCCAAGUUUGAAGCCCAAAUGACGGAAUCGAUGGAUGCUCUUACGACAAAGCUCGAAGGAUUCGAUGCUAUGAUGCAGAAGAUUCUCGACAAGGUCACUGGUUUGGAGGCUUGGAAGACGGCGGCUGAUGCGUCCAUGGACGCGUUGAUCUCCAAGGCGAACGCUACAGCGACACACCUUCGUCGUCUGGAGGUCCCUCCACCACCCCUACAGGCGGCGUCGACAGCAUACUCUCCUCCUCCGCCGCCGGCAUGGGUGAAUCCAUUCGACCUCAACUUGGCUCCUAGACAAGCGGCGCGCCCAUCUGCGUCGGCUUUGGAGCGGCCCAGCGGGCACCCCCAUGAUUCGAGCCAUCGGGAUGCUGGCGGUGGGAUCCUUGGAUCUCAUCCGCGGCACCCGGUCACGGGAGGAGGAGCUGGAAUCUCGCAAGCGCUUUUCCACUUGGAAGUCAGAAUCAAUGGAUUAUUCCAAGUUUGCCAGCAAGGGUUUCUCUGGCCACGAGAAAGCUAAACCUUCUCUCAAGAAAGAAGAACCAAAGAAGUUUGACAAGCCAGCAACUGAUUCCAAGUGCUCUUAUGCAAUUCAGAAAAGCUAAUGGGCUCUGUUAUACUUGUGGGAAGAAAUGGACUGGUCGUGCUCAUAAAUGUCCGGAACAUGUACCUCUGCAUGUGGUUCAGGAGGUAUUCGAAGCUUUUCUGUUGGAUCAAACUUCUGAUACUGAUUCCAUUGAUGGUGAUACUGAUACUGCUGAAGACACUGUGAUGUAUGUGCAACCUUCAGUCAUUGCACAGCCCCAGAAAAGAAGAAGAACCAUGCGGUUUAGAGUGUCAGUGGGCAAGAGAGAUUUACUCAUCCUUUUGGAUUUUGGCAGUGCUGGUACUUUUAUCAGUGAGGAAGUAGCUCAGCAGUUUCCCUCCCUUUUACAGUCAUGUGCACCUUUGCAAUUCUCUACUGCUGAUGGCACUCCAAUGACUUCUGACAUGCACAUUGAGAAAUUUCAGUGGUUCAUAUAGGGGCAGUCUUUCACCUAUGAUGCCAGGGUCCUACCUUUGAAAUGCUUUGACAUGAUCAUGGGAGCCGAUUGUUGGAGGACCGCAGUCUAACCUGGAUACAUUGGAAGAAGAAACAGAUGAAGUUUCCUUUUCAAGGGAAAAGAGUGCUUAUUCAGAGUAUCAGGGAUCAUCUGAGAUUUUUUAAACCUGUCAAUGGAGGAAAGUUAAAAGGCCUUACGAGAACAAAAGCUGUCUCUCACUUGGUGCACUUGAGAAGAAUUCCAGAACACAGAAGUUGCAGUCCUAUACACUCAUUGGCUUCUGCAGACCCAGACACUGUGUUACCUGCUGCUGACCUCAAUUCUAUUCCUCUUCAGAUUCAGUCUCUGACACACCAAUAUGGCCAUUUGUUUAAGGAACCCACGGGUUUACCUCCACAAAGGGAGGAUGAUCAUCACAUACCACUUUUGGCUGGAUCUCAACCUGUCAACAUCAGGCCAUAUAGGUAAUCCAAGGCUAUCAAGAGGAUGUCAUGGCACAACAGCUUCUUACUGAACUUAGCAUUGUCUCUCCCAAUGAUAAAGGUUACUGUCUUCAGGAUGGUAUUAUCUUUAAAGUGUGGGUGGGCAACAAUGAGUUGGCUCAACAGCAUAUCAUACAAGCUCUUCAUGCUAGUGGGUUGGGUGGAUAUUCUGGAAUACAAGCCACUUAUCAGAGGGUCAAAGCUCUUUUUAUCUGGCCCAGGAUGAAACAGUCAAUAAUUGAUUUUGUGCAAGCCUGUGUCGUGUGCCAACAAGCUAAGGGAGAGCAUGUGAAAUUACCAGGUCUGCUACAACCUUUGGCUGUACCUGACCGAGCAUGAAAGGUGGUAAGUAUGGAUUUUGUUGAAGGUUUACCUAAAUCUCAAGGGUUCAAUGCUAUAUUGGUGGUGGUAGUGGUGGACAAGUUUACCACAUAUGCUCAUUUCUUGCCCUUCUCCCACUCAUUUACUGCUCUAUCAGUGGCUCAGUUAUACUUUCAUAAUGUUUACAAGCUCCACUGCUUGCCUGAGACUAUUAUCUCUGACAGAGCAUCUUCACAAGUUUUCUUUGGCAAGAAUUAUUCAAAUUGAGCGACACUCAGUUGAUGAUGAGCUCCUCAUACCACCCACAGACGGAUGGACAGACUGAACGUGUCAACCAGUGCUUAGAAGCUUUCCUUCGUUGCUCUGUUCAUUCCUGCCCGUCAGUGGCAUAAAUGGAUUUCUCUUGCUGAAUAUUGGCACAACACUGCAUUUCAUUCAGCCUUGGGUCUUUCGCCAUUUGAGGCUCUAUAUGGUCAUCCUCCCAGGCAUUUGGGCAUCAAGAAUUCAGAGGACUACGCUGUUCCUGAUCUUGCAGCUUGGAUGAAGGACAGGAAUUUUCUCUCUCAACUCAUUCAACAACAGUUGUUGCGUGCACAGCAAAGAAUGAAGCAUCAGGCUGACACUCAUCGGUCAGAGAGGGAGUUCCAAGUGGGUGAUCUGGUUUAUCUCAAGUUACAACCACAUGUGCAGUCCUUUGUGGCCACCAGGAGCAACAACAAACUGGCCUUCAGAUUCUAUGGUCUAUUUCCUAUUUUGCAGAGUCUCGCAAUGGCUUAUAAAUUGCAGCUACCUGCUCAUGCCCAAAUUCAUGCUGUGGUCCAUGUUUCCCAACUCAAACGUCAUGUUCCACCACAGACGCCGGUGAGUGCAGAUCUUUCCACUGUCUGUGCUGAUCCCUCUACUCCAGUUAUGCCUCUGUUGAUCUUGGAUCGUGCACUGCAUCUGGUGGGAGCUUCCGCAAUGCCCCGACUGCUAGUUCAGUGGAACACAGUAUCUUCUCUGACAUCUUGGGAAGAUGAACAAGAUCUUCGUCGACUUUUUCCUACAGCAUCAGCUUGGGGUCAAGCUGCCUGCCUCUCAAGGGGAGUGUCCGUGUCAUGACUAAGACGUUGGCCAAGAAGAAACGCCGACUAAAUGAAUGCUUGGAGAGGAAGCCGUAAAUGUCUGGGCUUCGUGUGCUGGGCUUAGUUGAUUCUUGAGCUUGGGCCGUAUGAACUGGCUCUGUGAGCCGUGUGAGCUGGAAUGGAGGGAGAUAAAUACCCGCCACCGCUCUGUAAUCGUUGUUGAAUUUUGUACCGAACCUAUUCCUAAAUUCGAAUCUGAUCUCGUACCCACGGAAUCCAGCCGUGUUCUUCCCCAA